rnacentral:rRNA from 1 species
CCUGCCGCUUACUCGGGGAUAGCCUUUCGAAAGAAAGAUUAAUACCCGAUGGUAUAAAGAGUUCGCAUGUUCUCUUUAUUAAAGAAUUUCGGUAAGCGAUGGGGAUGCGUUCCAUUAGAUAGUUGGCGGGGUAACGGCCCACCAAGUCUACGAUGGAUAGGGGUUCUGAGAGGAAGGUCCCCCACAUUGGAACUGAGACACGGUCCAAACUCUACGGGAGGCAGCAGUGAGGAAUAUUGGUCAAUGGACGAGAGUCUGAACCAGCCAAAAGUAGCGUGAAGGAUGACUGCCCUAUGGGUUGUAAACUUCUUUUAUAAGGGAAUAAAGUGAGGGACGUGUCCCUUUUUGUAUGUACCUUAUGAAUAAGGAUCGGCUAACUCCGUGCCAGCCGCGGC